AAAAAGUGCAAAAGGGGGGAGGGGCCGCGGGGGGGGGAGGGGAGGGGGGAGGGGGCGCCUCGCGCGUGGGAUUUGCACACUCACGCGUGGGGUUUGCACACUCGCACGCGGGGUUUGCACACUCGCGCGUGGGGUUUGCACACUCGCACGUGGGGUUUGCACACUCGCGCGUGGAUUUGCACACUCGCAUGUGGAUUUGCACACUCACGCGAGGAUUUGCACACUCGCACGUGGGGUUUGCAUACUCGCGCGUGGAUUUGCACACUCGC